rnacentral:tRNA from 1 species
GGUCCUAUGGUGUAACGGUUAGCACUCUGGGCUUUGAAUCCAGCGAUCCGAGUUCAAAUCUCGGUAGGACCU